rnacentral:rRNA from 1 species
UACCUACGGGGCGCAGCAGUAGGGAAUUUUCGUCAAUGGGCGCAAGCCUGAACGAGCAAUGCCGCGUGAGUGAGGAAGGUCUUCGGAUCGUAAAGCUCUGUUGCGGGGGAAAAAGGACAGGAAGAGGAAAUGCUUUCUGUUUGAUGGUACCCCGCCAGAAAGUCACGGCUAACUACGUGCCAGCAGCCGCGGUAAUACGUAGGUGGCGAGCGUUAUCCGGAAUGAUUGGGCGUAAAGGGUGCGCAGGCGGUCCUGCAAGUCUGGAGUGAAACGCAUGAGCUCAACUCAUGCAUGGCUUUGGAAAC